CAACAUAGCCUAAAUAUCCUAAAAGCACCUAAUCCUGUCUGAUCUUGGAAGUUAAAUAGAUCAGUCUUGGUUAGUAGUUGAAUGGACCACUAACUCACACUCGGUGCUAUGAGCUAUUUUUC
rnacentral:rRNA from 11 species